CUAGAGUGAUGGGCUCCGAAGCUAACGCGAUAAAUCGACCGCCUGGGGAGUACGGCCGCAAGGUUAAAACUCAAAUGAAUUGACGGGGGCCCGCACAAGCGGUGGAGCAUGUGGUUUAAUUCGAUGCAACACGAAGAACCUUACCUGGUCUUGACAUCCAUAGAAUUCUGCAGAGAUGUGGGAGUGCCUUCGGGAACUAUGAGACAGGUGCUGCAUGGCUGUCGUCAGCUCGUGUUGUGAAAUGUUGGGUUAAGUCCCGCAACGAGCGCAACCCUUAUUCUUUGUUGCCAGCGAUUUGGUCGGGAACUCAAAGGAGACUGCCGUUGAUAAAGCGGAGGAAGGUGGGGACGACGUCAAGUCAUCAUGGCCCUUACGACCAGGGCUACACACGUGCUACAAUGGCGUAUACAAAGGGAAGCGAAGGUGCGAGCUGGAGCGGAUCUCAUAAAGUACGUCUAAGUUCGGAUUGGAGUCUGCAACUCGACUCCAUGAAGUCGGAAUCGCUAGUAAUCGUAGAUCAGAAUGCUACGGUGAAUACGUUCCCGGGCCUUGUACACACCGCCCGUCACACCAUGGGAGUGGGUUGCACCAGAAGUAGAUAGCUUAACCGCGAGGGGGGCGUUUACCACGGUGUGAUUCAUGACUGGGGUGAAGUCGUAACAAGGUAACCA
rnacentral:rRNA from 1 species